GAUUUAAAGUUGUAAAUUUGUUCUUUAACCCUUUCAUGUAUAGUGGUCACUGCAGUGGACAGCUAUCUAAAAGCCAUUUUCUUGUGCUUCUUGUGGAUUUUUAUGUUAUAAAUGCACACAGACCACUGAAGUGGACACGAAUGCAUCAUAAAAUACAUGAUCAACUACUGGCCAUCAGCUGCAAAUGCAAGAAAUUAUUUUUGUUAAAUCCAAUAUGGCCGACAGACAAAAAAGCAAGCUGACCGACCCUGUCCCUCCUCCUACUGUAGACGACGCUUGCAGGUAAAAAAAAAUAUUGUGACAAAAUAACCCCUAAAGAACAAUACUACUGAUAUAUUUUUCAAAUAACAACUUUGGAG